AAAAAGGGCCUUUGAUGUAAUGUCACUCAGUGUCCAUAUGGACAUUGGGCGGAAUCGCUAGCAAGAGAUUUCGGAGGCAUAAUUUCUGUGAACAGUGGCAGCUGGUGCUCAUUUAGCCUGGCGCCCAU